GUUCGGAAUAACGGUUGGAAACGACCGAUAAUACUGGAUAAGCCCGAGAGGGGAAAGGUUUACCGCUAAGAGAUAAGCCCAUAUCUGAUUAUGGUAGUUGGUAGGGUAAUGGCCUACCAAGCCUUUGAUCAGUAGCUGGUUUGAGAGGAUGAUCAGCCACACUGGGACUGAGACACGGCCCAGACUCCUACGGGAGGCAGCAGUGGGGAAUAUUGGACAAUGGGCGAAAGCCUGAUCCAGCGACGCCGCGUGGGUGAUGAAGGUCUUAGGAUUGUAAAACCCUUUUGUUGGGGAAGAUAAUGACGGUACCCAACGAAUAAGUCCCGGCUAACUUCGUGCCAGCAGCCGCGGUAAUACGAAGGGGGCUAGCGUUGUUCGGAAUAACUGGGCGUAAAGGGCGCGUAGGCGGUGAAAUGCGUCUGGUGUGAAAGUCCUGGGCUUAACCUGGGGAUUGCACUGGAUACGGUUUUACUUGAGUGUAAGAGAGGAAGAUGGAAUUGUGCGUGUAGAGGUGAAAUUCGUAGAUAUGCACAAGAACACCGGAUGCGAAGGCGAUCUUCUGGCUUACAACUGACGCUGAGGCGCGAAAGCGUGGGGAGCAAACAGGAUUAGAUACCCUGGUAGUCCACGCCCUAAACGAUGAAUGUUAGAUGUCGGUUUUUUAAAAAUCGGUGUUGCAGCUAACGCGUUAAACAUUCCGCCUGGGGAGUACGGUCGCAAGAUUAAAACUCAAAGGAAUUGACGGGGACCCGCACAAGCGGUGGAUUAUGUGGUUUAAUUCGAACAUACGCGCAGAACCUUACCCGUUCUUGACAUGGUCUUUUUGGGGUGUAGAAAUAUACUUCUUCAGUUCGGCUGGGGGAUCACAGGUGCUGCAUGGCUGUCGUCAGCUCGUGUCGUGAGAUGUUGGGUUAAGUCCCGCAACGAGCGCAACCCUUUCUUUUCGUUGCCAUCAGGUUAUGCUGGGCACUGGAAAAGGACUGCCUGUUUUAAGCAGGAGGAAGGUGGGGAUGACGUCAAGUCCUCAUGGCCCUUAUGGACGGGGCUACACACGUAAUACAAUGGGAGUGACAGAGGGAAGCGAAAAGGUGACUUUAAGCAAAUCUUAAAAAGCUCUCUCAGUUCGGAUUGUUCUCUGCAACUCGAGAACAUGAAGUUGGAAUCGCUAGUAAUCGUCGAUCAGCACGCGACGGUGAAUACGUUCCCGGGUCUUGUACACACUGCCCGUCACGCCAUGGGAGCUGACUCGAUCUUAAAUUGGUGAGCUAACCACAGCAAUGUGGAGGCAGCCAAUCACGGUUGGGUGAGUGACUGGGGUGAAGUCGAAACAAGGUA
rnacentral:rRNA from 1 species